rnacentral:tRNA from 1 species
GGCCGGAUGGUCUAGGGGUAUGAUUCUCGCUUCGGGUGCGUGAGGUCCCGGGUUCGAAUCCCUGUUCCGCCC